GAAUUCAACUCCUACGGGAGGCAGCAGUAGGGAAUCUUCCACAAUGGGCGCAAGCCUGAUGUAGCAACACCGCGUGAGUGAAGAAGGGUUUCGGCUCGUAAAACUCUGUUGUUGAAGAAGAACGUGCGUGAGAGUAACUGUUCACGCAGUGACGGUAUUCAACCAGAAAGUCACGGCUAACUACGUGGCAGCAGCCGCGGUAAUACGUAGGUGGCAAGCGUUAUCCGGAUUUAUUGGGCGUAAAGCGAGCGCAGGCGGUUACUUAAGUCUGAUGUGAAAGCCUUCGGCUUAACCGGAGUAGUGCAUUGGAAACUGGGAGACUUGAGUGCAGAAGAGGAGAGUGGAACUCCAUGUGUAGCGGUGAAAUGCGUAGAUAUAUGGAAGAACACCAGUGGCGAAAGCGGCUCUCUGGUCUGUAACUGACGCUGAGGUUCGAAAGCGUGGGUAGCAAACAGGAUUAGAUACCCUUGUAGUCCAGGCGUU
rnacentral:rRNA from 1 species